rnacentral:rRNA from 1 species
GGGUUGUGAGGUUAAGCGACUAAGCGUACACGGUGGAUGCCCUGGCAGUCAGAGGCGAUGAAGGACGUGCUAAUCUGCGAUAAGCGUCGGUAAGGUGAUAUGAACCGUUAUAACCGGCGAUUUCCGAAUGGGGAAACCCAGUGUGAUUCGUCACACUAUCAUUAACUGAAUCCAUAGGUUAAUGAGGCGAACCGGGGGAACUGAAACAUCUAAGUACCCCGAGGAAAAGAAAUCAACCGAGAUUCCCCCAGUAGCGGCGAGCGAACGGGGAGGAGCCCAGAGCCUGAAUCAGUGUGUGUGUUAGUGGAAGCGUCUGGAAAGGCGCGCGAUACAGGGUGACAGCCCCGUACACAAAAAUGCACAUGCUGUGAGCUCGAUGAGUAGGGCGGGACACGUGGUAUCCUGUCUGAAUAUGGGGGGACCAUCCUCCAAGGCUAAAUACUCCUGACUGACCGAUAGUGAACCAGUACCGUGAGGGAAAGGCGAAAAGAACCCCGGCGAGGGGAGUGAAAAAGAACCUGAAACCGUGUACGUACAAGCAGUGGGAGCAUGCUUAGGCGUGUGACUGCGUACCUUUUGUAUAAUGGGUCAGCGACUUAUAUUCUGUAGCAAGGUUAACCGAAUAGGGGAGCCGAAGGGAAACCGAGUCUUAACUGGGCGUUAAGUUGCAGGGUAUAGACCCGAAACCCGGUGAUCUAGCCAUGGGCAGGUUGAAGGUUGGGUAACACUAACUGGAGGACCGAACCGACUAAUGUUGAAAAAUUAGCGGAUGACUUGUGGCUGGGGGUGAAAGGCCAAUCAAACCGGGAGAUAGCUGGUUCUCCCCGAAAGCUAUUUAGGUAGCGCCUCGUGAACUCAUCUCCGGGGGUAGAGCACUGUUUCGGCAAGGGGGUCAUCCCGACUUACCAACCCGAUGCAAACUGCGAAUACCGGAGAAUGUUAUCACGGGAGACACACGGCGGGUGCUAACGUCCGUCGUGAAGAGGGAAACAACCCAGACCGCCAGCUAAGGUCCCAAAGUCAUGGUUAAGUGGGAAACGAUGUGGGAAGGCCCAGACAGCCAGGAUGUUGGCUUAGAAGCAGCCAUCAUUUAAAGAAAGCGUAAUAGCUCACUGGUCGAGUCGGCCUGCGCGGAAGAUGUAACGGGGCUAAACCAUGCACCGAAGCUGCGGCAGCGACGCUUAUGCGUUGUUGGGUAGGGGAGCGU